AUGUACCCAAAGGGCGAGGAAAAGAUUCCCGUGAAUACAGCCCAGGAUCCACCUCUGAUGUUCAGUGAAGACUACCAGAAAAGUCUGCUAGAGCAGUACCAUCUGGGUCUGGAUCAAAAACGCAGAAAAUACGUGGUUGGAGAGCUCAUCUGGAAUUUUGCCGAUUUCGUGACUAACCAGUGUAAGCGGCAGUUCCUGCUCCAGCGCGGCUCCUGGACUGGCCCCAGGUGCUGGCCCCGGGGGUUUCAAUCCAAGCAUACUUCACUGAAGCAUGUGUUUGGCAGCGGGACCCUGCUCACCGUUUUAGGUCAGCCCGAUGCCGCCUCCUCGGUCACUCUGUUCCCGCUGUCCUCUGAGGAGCCCCAAGCCAACAAGGCCACACUGGUGUGUCUCAUGAAUGACUUCUAUCCGGGAAGCUUGACGGUGACCUGGAAGGCAGAUGGUAACCCCGUCACCCAGGGCGUGGAGAUGACCACACCCUCCAAACAGAGCAACAGCAAGUAUGCGGCCAGCAGCUACCUGAGCCUGACGCCCGAGAAGUGGAGGUCCCGCAGAAGCUACAGCUGCCAGGUCACGCAUGAAGGGAGCACCGUGGAGAAGACAGUGGCCCCUGCAGAAUGUUCAUAGGUUCCCAGCCCCCACCCCACCCACAGGGGCCUUGAGCUGCAGGAUCCCAGGGUAGGGGUCUCUCUCUGCAUCCCAAGCCAUCCAGCCCUUCUGCCUGUACCCAGUAAACCCUCAAUAAAUAUCCUUUGUCAACCAGAAA